rnacentral:rRNA from 1 species
UACGUAGGGGGCUAGCGUUGUCCGGAAUCAUUGGGCGUAAAGAGCGUGUAGGCGGCCAGAUAGGUCCGUUGUGAAAACUGGAGGCUUAACCUCCAGCGGUCGAUGGAAACCAUCUGGCUAGAGUCCGGAAGAGGAGAGUGGAAUUCCUGGUGUAGCGGUGAAAUGCGCAGAUAUCAGGAAGAACACCAACGGCGAAGGCAGCUCGCUGGGACGGAACUGACGCUAAGGCGCGAAAGCGUGGGGAGCGAACAGG